UACGUAGGGAGCAAGCGUUGUCCGGAAUCACUGGGCGUAAAGGGCGCGUAGGCGGCCUGAUAAGUAGGGGGUGAAAUCUUGCGGCUUAACCGCAAGGCUGCCUUCUAAACUGUCAGGCUAGAGCACAGUAGAGGCAGGUGGAAUUCCCGGUGUAGCGGUGGAAUGCGUAGAGAUCGGGAGGAACACCAGUGGCGAAGGCGGCCAUCUGGAUCAACACUGACGCUGAGGCACGAAAGCGUGGGGAGCAAACAGG
rnacentral:rRNA from 1 species